CCCAUCGCUGCCCUGAGCCUGGUCUCCUGCACCCAGAGGUAACUGCUGCACCCACUCCCACGGAGGCCUCCAGCCCAAGGAUGCCGCUGCUGCCAGACCUGCCGCCUGGCCUGGGAGCCCCCCCGGGGCCCCUUUACUCUGGCCACAUGGGUUCCCCACGCCCCGACCUGGGACCUGGCUGCGGUGGGUCCCUGCGGUGGAGGUCGAGUGCUGCAAAGCAGCUCAGGACCGGGAUGAGAGCACCUACCCCAUGGGGCUGUGGUGAGGAUAAAUGAUACACUGUAUCAGCACACAGGAAGCGCUCAGUAACUGCUGAUUUUUAUGGCACCUGUUUAUGUCCCAUCGCUGCCUGGCUGAUUUAAAGUCCUGCUGGGCGAGGGACUUCCCUGGUGGUGCAGUGGAUAAGACUCUGAGCCCCCAACGCAGGGGGCUCGGGUUCGAUCCCUGGUCUGAGAACUAGAUCCCACGUGCAUGCCACAACUAAGGAACCCACAUACCACAACUAAGGAGCCCACCUGCCGCAACUAAGACCUGGAAUAACCAGAUAAA